rnacentral:rRNA from 1 species
CCCAGACUCCUACGGGAGGCAGCAGUGGGGGAUAUUGCACAAUGGGGGGAACCCUGAUGCAGCGACGCCGCGUGGGUGAAGAAGCGCCUCGGCGCGUAAAGCCCUGUCAGCAGGGAAGAAAAUGACGGUACCUGAAGAAGAAGCCCCGGCUAACUACGUGCCAGCAGCCGCGGUAAUACGUAGGGGGCAAGCGUUAUCCGGAUUUACUGGGUGUAAAGGGGGCGCAGACGGCGAUGCAAGCCAGGAGUGAAAGCCCGGGGCCCAACCCCGGGACUGCUCUUGGAACUGCGUGGCUGGAGUGCAGGAGGGGCAGGCGGAAUUCCUGGUGUAGCGGUGAAAUGCGUAGAUAUCAGGAGGAACACCGGUGGCGAAGGCGGCCUGCUGGACUGCAACUGACGUUGAGGCCCGAAAGCGUGGGGAGCAAACGGGAUUAGAUACCCGCGUA